AACGAGACCUUAACCUGCUAAAUAGCCCGUAUUGCUUUGGCAGUACGCUGGCUUCUUAGAGGGACUAUCCGCUCAAGCGGAUGGAAGUUUGAGGCAAUAACAGGUCUGUGAGGCCCGUAGAUGUUCUGGGCCGAACGCGCGUUACACUGACGGAGCCAGCGAGUACUUACUUGACAGAGAUGUCCGGGUAAUCUUGUGAAACUCU
rnacentral:rRNA from 1 species